rnacentral:rRNA from 1 species
CAGCAGCCGCGGUAAUACCGAGGGUGCGAGCGUUAAUCGGAUUUACUGGGCGUAAAGCGUGCGUAGGCGGCUUCUUAAGUCGGAUGUGAAAUCCCUGAGCUUAACUUAGGAAUUGCAUUCGAUACUGGGAAGCUAGAGUAUGGGAGAGGAUGGUAGAAUUCCAGGUGUAGCGGUGAAAUGCGUAGAGAUCUGGAGGAAUACCGAUGGCGAAGGCAGCCAUCUGGCCUAAUACUGACGCUGAGGUACGAAAGCAUGGGGAGCAAACAGGAUUAGAUACCCGUGUAGUCCCUGUCUCUUAUAC